CGUGGGUAACCUGCCCAAGAGAUCGGGAUAACACCUGGAAACAGAUGCUAAUACCGGAUAACAACAGAUGAUGCCUAUCAACUUAGUUUAAAAGAUGGUUCUUCUAUCACUCUUGGAUGGACCUGCGGUGCAUUAGCUAGUUGGUAGGGUAACGGCCUACCAAGGCGAUGAUGCAUAGCCGAGUUGAGAGACUGAUCGGCCACAUUGGGACUGAGACACGGCCCAAACUCCUACGGGAGGCAGCAGCG
rnacentral:rRNA from 1 species